UAAAUAGGGAAACUAAAAAUGCAAUAAAUUUAUUAAAAAUGAUUAAAUGUGACAUGGAAUACUAUAAUCUGACAUGGAGGACUAUUUUUAGUUUUUAAUCUUACAUACGGUAUUAUUGAAAAAACAAUCUUAUUUAGGGAUUAAAAUGAAGUUUUCUAAAAAACAAAUAUAUUAAUCUCUUGUUCAACCUGUUCCCUCUUAUGAUGAUCCCUACAAUUUAUUUUUUUGGAUUUGGAUUAUUUCCCCUCCCCUCCUAUUUGAAUGCUCAAGAUUAAGCCACAUCAUCAUCUUGUUUGACCUCUUGGUAGGGAGAGAAGAAGAGGAAACUCAUAGAGGAGGGGAAGGGAAAAGAGGGGCGAGAAUCCAACUCACAAUUUUUAGUGCGACCAUCACAUAGUAAUCUAACCACGUGUCAUAAUAUAUCACAUAAUUACCAACUGCUAUUACUAAUCGACAUGGUGGACAACAUGAUUGAUGAACCUAAGAGCAUAUCAUUGUAAUGACGAGAUUGAUAACUAUCAUGUGAUUGACUAUCAGAACAAAAAAAAUUCAGAUAAUCCACGCAUAGUCCUGCUGGCACUCUCCACAUUUGCUGUCGUAACUAUACAAUGUUUGGACUG
rnacentral:lncRNA from 1 species